AGUGAACGCUGGCGGUAGGCCUAACACAUGCAAGUCGAACGGCAGCACAGUAAGAGCUUGCUCUUACGGGUGGCGAGUGGCGGACGGGUGAGGAAUACAUCGGAAUCUACUUUUUCGUGGGGGAUAACGUAGGGAAACUUACGCUAAUACCGCAUACGACCUACGGGUGAAAGCAGGGGAUCUUCGGACCUUGCGCGAUUGAAUGAGCCGAUGUCGGAUUAGCUAGUUGGCGGGGUAAAGGCCCACCAAGGCGACGAUCCGUAGCUGGUCUGAGAGGAUGAUGAGCCACACUGGAACUGAGACACGGUCCAGACUCCUACGGGAGGCAGCAGUGGGGAAUAUUGGGCAAUGGGCGCAAGCCUGAUCCAGCCAUGCCGCGUGGGUGAAGAAGGCCUUCGGGUUGUAAAGCCCUUUUGUUGGGAGAGAAAAGCAGCAGAUUAAUACCCCGCUGUUCUGACGGUACCCAAAGAAUAAGCACCGGCUAACUUCGUG
rnacentral:rRNA from 1 species